rnacentral:misc_RNA from 1 species
GUGAAUCAUCGAAUUUUUGAACGCAAAUUGCACUCUCCUCUGUGAGUGUGCCUGUUUGAGGGUCAGCCUAUAAAAAAUCGACAUAGUUGCUGUUUUGCGGUGGCGUCCGUCUGGAAUUGGGUCAUCUUAUACCUUUUGGUUUUGAGCGACUUAAAAUUUUCUUUUUGGUUCCUUGAACGUUUCUAAUAUUUAUUUCUUUACACUUUUAAGGUAUCGAUUUUUAUUAGACGUGACAAUCAUAUCGGAU